ACUGCACUGCAUACACACAUGGGAGAGUUCCCUGCCAAGCCAGUGUCUGAACUUCCCCCUUGCUGUGUGUUCAGUCCUGUCUCCCCCUGCCCCCACCUCCCUAACAUUUACCAGAGUUGCAGAAGGCUGCAGGUGCGCUCACCCUGGCAAGCCAAGAGAUUCGGAGGUUCUGUGCAUUUUAAUAUCCUGCAACGAUUAUAUAAUUGUCGCGCUUUCAAUGAAGUCACGCCAGUGGCCUUUAACAAUGGCCUAAAAGUGACACUGAGCAAGGAAUACACUUCCAGGGCACUGUGGCUUCUUUAGCAAUGGCUUUUUGUCAGCCUCUGCUGUGACUAUAAAGCAGGUACACGUUUUAUAUGCUGCGGAACAGGAAUGGGAAUUCUUUUCUGACUCUGGCCAGGGUUCUGCCUUCCCUGGGUCUUCUGGACACAGAGCAGCCCAGAUCUCUGAUGUGACCAAGUUCCCAAAUGAAAUGGGUGGAAAAUCAGUCUCUAAGAACAGAAAAGGAAAUGAAAAUAAACUACCCAUGUGAUGGGUAGGUCUGUGACAGGAAAACAGUUAUUUCUUGAUGUUAACCUGUGUGGAACCACAGUGUAGCUGACUAGAUGUGGUGGAGUGUACCUCUAGUCCCAGCUACUUGGGAGUCUGAGGCCUCAGGAUCUUUUGAGCCCUGGUGUUCAAGACCACUGGGGUAAUAUAGAGACCUCAUGGCAGAAUAAUUAAAGGGAGUAAGGGGCUAUAACUGAAUCCUGAGUGUAGCCAAUCCACCCGUGUCUCUUCAAGGUUCACUGCUAUUAGGGUGCCCUGGUGGGGGUCGGGAGGAAGCUUCCUUUCUGGAGUGUGGAGCAGUAGACUGGGCUGUCCCUCAGAAAUGCUGCCCAUGCUGGCCCCUUGCUAAGUCAGCAGAAAGGGGUGGCCUCCUGCCAGCACAGAGGCAGGCAGGCACUGUCUGCUGGGGAUGCACCCAGCCAUGGCCCUCAUCAAGGCAGAGAAUCAGAAGCGACUCUGGGUGCAAAUGAGUAACAGCGGGAGCCAGAUGAAGGAGCGAAGAGGAUGGGGGAGCCCUGCUUCCCUGGAAACGGGAAGAAAGGGAAUUAUCGAAACUCAAAAGACAUUUGACUACCAAAAGAUCUUUAAUAAUCUGGAGUCACUGGAGAGUUAGAAAUGAGGUGACUGCCACAAAGCCCAAGUCACUGAACUUGUAAUGGGAAGGUUCAGAGUCUCCCAAUGCAGACACCGCGCUCUCCUUCCAUCUCAAGUGCUGAACUGGCCUGUUGGCCAGCACGCUCUGCUCACUUGCCCAGUGACCCCUUCACGGGGGGAUCUUCUAAAUGUAAUCAAGUCCCACUGAAAUCGAUGCGGUUUUGCUUGCCCAGUGGAAUCACUGUGUUAGAGGCCUGUCUGGCAGUUUUUCCACACCCAGCAUCACCCUCGGGGUGCCUGUUGGCCACAGUUGGCGACACCACUCUAGUGUUGUUCAGCAAAGCUGAGUGGUUUUUCAGACCAGAUUUUUAACUGGCUGGCUGGUUGUAUUCACACAUCUCUUUUUGUAAUAAUAUGCAGAUCCACUUGGCUCCCAGGCGAUUCCCAAAAGUGUGGAAGGAUUAAAGACAUUUUAAGGGGUUGGGGUGGGCGGGGAGGCUCUGCUAACUGGGUCCCAUUUUUCUUUGAGAUCUAAUUUAUGUGCCGGUAUUAUUUCAGCAUUUGCCACAGAAUCUAGAGUCCUCCAGGAGAUCAGAAUCCAGCUCACAGCCUCAGCUUUGAUUCUGUAGAGCAUGCUAAUUUAUGGACAGUCCUCUCUAAAUUGAGGAAGGGGAAUUUUCUUUCUCUCCCGAUACUGAGAUGCUGUAAAUAUUUUAAUUUAUCUCUACCCCCGCCUUUUUAAAAAUUUCAUAAAGAAAGCAUCCCUCCUCUCUCUUCUUAUGGCUCUCCAAAUAAGGUUUUUCCCAGCACCCACCUCUCAUCUCUCUGGGUGGGAACAUGGAGACGAGCCUGCCUAAAGUUCUGAAUCAAGUCACUGCCACGAGGACCCUGUCCAUAGAGCUUUAGAGAGGUGCUGGGGGCUUGGUGUCUGGCUGGGACUGUAUGUUCCUAACUGCAGAGCUUCGUUGAGAUGCAAAUAACCUCCCCUACCCCACCCCUCCCAAGGAAUAGCGAUUUUAUAUUUGAUUUCCUUUUUUUGUUUUUGUUUUUGUUUUUUUUUGUUUUCUUUUUUUCUCGUUUUGUUUCCCCCGCAUAAACCCGAAAAAUGUAGGUGUCUAGUCAUAUACAGGUCUUAGCAAGAAAGAAAGUUCGAGAAAUUCAAGCCGCCAUUAAGGUACGUCUGGCUUGCCCAGUUGUAGGGGGCUUUUCAUCUCCAUGGUUACAGGCUUUUCCUUUGUUUUCCUCCCUUCCCCUACCCUGCAGGUGUCUAGUCACAUUCAGGUUCUUGCCAGAAGGAAAUCUCGUGAUUUUCAUUCCAAGCUGAAGGUAUGCGCUUUUCUGCUUUUUGGCUCGUGGUUGCUAUGCACCUCACUUCCUGUUUUCCAUGGUGACUGGUGAAUGCCUGGCGCUGGGAUUCUUGUAACCUAGCUUCCUAGCAUGUGAGGGCUGUUUACAUUUCUUUGUGUCUAAUCUCUCUGUUUUUGUACGGGCCUCACGUUAAACUCUGUGUGUGCGCGAGUGUGUGCAAGUUUCCCAGUAACAACGCAAUCGCAGUCGCAGCAGAGAGCUGAUCUCAAUAACUUCAGCACAGAAAUGCAAUUAAAAGAAGAAAAGAAAAAGAAAAAGAAAAAAAAAAUCUUCUAAUAACUGUCCUGUAGCAAUUUGAGAAUCAGCUAAUGGAUAGUCUAGUAUAACCUU
rnacentral:lncRNA from 1 species